AGAUAUCCAAGCAUACAGAAGUACAGGAUCUGAGAAACAGUCCAGGAAGGAGAGAGCCGUGUGCCGAACUGCUGAGCCAAGACCAGAGUCAACCCUGAGCCCUCCUCACUACAAGGCAGACCCCACACCAUCGCUGGAGGAAGGGGGAUCAGUGUUGUGCUCCUUGGCUUGUGAGACAGGAUGACCACAGCUGCUGCAAGACAGCAGGAAAUCACCUCUGUAAAGCUAUCCAGGAAGUCUGGAAUUCAGAGGGCUGCCAUCUUUAGCUCUGCAUGGGCUGAACUCCCAGGAAGCAGCUGUCCUCCUUGGUACUGCGAUGUCUUAGUGGGAGAAGACAGGGACCCUGAACAUUAGCUGGGCUCUGAGCAAGGAUUCAGCCCCUCUGCGGUCCCCAGCUUCUCCAUAGGAAACUUCUUCACCUAGCUGCUGCCAGCGUGCUUUUGGCGACCCUGAGUGUCCCGUCAGCUGUUACAGGCCGUUACAGGAUUU
rnacentral:lncRNA from 1 species